GAUGAACGCUGGCGGCGUGCCUAAUACAUGCAAGUCGAGCGAACGGACGAGAAGCUUGCUUUUCUGAUGUUAGCGGCGGACGGGUGAGUAACACGUGGAUAACCUACCUAUAAGACUGGGAUAACUUCGGGAAACCGGAGCUAAUACCGGAUAAUAUUUUGAACCGCAUGGUUCAAAAGUGAAAGACGGUCUUGCUGUCACUUAUAGAUGGAUCCGCGCUACAUUAGCUAGUUGGUAAGGUAACGGCUUACCAAGGCAACGAUGCAUAGCCGACCUGAGAGGGUGAUCGGCCACACUGGAACUGAGACACGGUCCAGACUCCUACGGGAGGCAGAAGUAGGGAAUCUUCAGCAAUGGGCGAAAGCCUGACGGAGCAACGCCGCGUGAGUGAUGAAGGUCUUCGGAUCGUAAAACUCUAUUAUUAGGGAAGAACAUAUGUGUAAGUAACUGUGCACAUCUUGACGGUACCUAAUCAGAAAGCCACGGCUAACUACGUG
rnacentral:rRNA from 1 species